AUUGAACGCUGGCGGCGUGCUUAACACAUGCAAGUCGUGCGAGAAAGGGGACUUCGGUCCCUGAGUAGAGCGGCGCACGGGUGAGUAACGCGUGGAUUAUCUACCCAGACGUUCGGGAUAACGGCGGGAAACUGCCGCUAAUACCGGAUACGCUCCAAUUUCGGUUGGGGGAAAGGCGGCCUCUGCUUGCAAGCUGUCGCAUCUGGAUGAGUCCGCGUCCCAUUAGCUUGUUGGUGGGGUAAUGGCCUACCAAGGCUACGAUGGGUAGCUGGUCUGAGAGGAUGAUCAGCCACACUGGAACUGAAACACGGUCCAGACUCCUACGGGAGGCAGCAGUGGGGAAUAUUGCGCAAUGGGGGAAACCCUGACGCAGCGACGCCGUGUGAGGGAAGAAGGCUUUCGGGUCGUAAACCUCUGUCAGAAAGGAAGAACCUCCCAAGUCCGAAUAGGGCUUGGGACUGACGGUACUUUCAAAGGAAGCACCGGCUAACUCCGUG
rnacentral:rRNA from 1 species